rnacentral:rRNA from 1 species
UACGUAGGGUGCAAGCGUUGUCCGGAAUUAUUGGGCGUAAAGCGUGCGUAGGCGGCUGCGCAAGUCGGGUGUGAAACCCCGGGGCUCAACCCCGGAACUGCAUCCGAUACUGCGUGGCUAGAGGUAGGUAGGGGAGAUCGGAAUUCCUGGUGUAGCGGUGAAAUGCGCAGAUAUCAGGAGGAACACCGGUGGCGAAGGCGGAUCUCUGGGCCUUACCUGACGCUGAGGAGCGAAAGUGUGGGGAGCGAACAGG